AUGAAUCAACUAUUACAGUAAAAAAAAAAAAAAAGAAUUGAAAUAAAAUACUUUUGGCUCUAAAAUUAAUUGAGAAUUUUUGCAGGUGUGUCGAGUGUAUACACACCUGCCACUAUCAACUGUAUAAAUUAUGAGAUGCAUCCAGUGUUACUAUAUGUAUACAAGCUACUGUUAUAUAUUCAAUUGGACAUCAUUAAACGAUUCGUUUAUAUCAAAACACAUCAGUUUUAUCAUCAUCAUCAUCAUCAUCAUCAUCGUCGUCAUCAUCAUCCACUAUACAAUGUACAUCCAGACUCGUCUGGCUUCUCGCUGGAAUUAUUAAAACUCUGGAUAUAUGCAUAUUAUGCGUGCAGAUUCCGGACGUGUGCACGUACUUGAAGCUUGCCUUUUGUACACGACCAACUGGCAGUAGGGACAGAGAGGUAUUCAUUUCAUUUGGAUGUUUCCAAUUUAUCCUAUCGACAACAGCAUCUUAAAAACAUUGCAUAUAUGUGUUCAAUGUCUUCAAACAAGAUGAGACAUCUGUCGAUACAUUCAUUGGUGCAAAAAAAUAAAAAAAUAACAAAAAAACGAAGAAGAAGAAGAAGAAGAGAAAAAACAUUGGACAAAUAUAAUUUUGCACGUGGGUGAAGUCAAUACACUCGCUUGUAUGCCACACCCGAGUAUUGUGUACCACUUCAAUAUCUCGAUGAUGAGAAGCUCAUCCCACACAUUUUAGCUACCUUUGCCAGAUGAUCCAAGUGGUUGACACCAUUAAAAAUCACCCCAAGUUUAACAAGAACUUUGAAAAUUCAUGGUAAAAUACACAGGCUUUUCAUGCAAAAACAAUUUGCUCUUAAAGAUAUAUAUAUAUAUGAGAGAGCCAGGCAAAUGAUGAUAGCUGUUAGCAACUUGUGGACGUGACAUUUCUUUUGCUUUUAUCCUUGCGUAUAUACACCAAGGGUGUGAUAUAUCAUAUCGUUAUUUCAAUGGACCCCUGGAGGCUUCAAGAUUAUAUUAACUUGAAGAUAAAAAUAAAUGAGAAACACCUCGUGUAUAUUCUUAGCCUGAUAUUUAUUUGUAAAAUUUGAAAACAACGUGACGAUGUGAUAAUUUAAAUAAUUUUAACUUAUUGAAGUGUGAAUUUUUAACUCUACAAAUAUGCCAGUGAAGUGGUAAUUGUGAUUAAAGUCAUAAAAACUUGAAAUGAAGAUGAGAAAGAGUCAUUGAAAAAGAAGAAGAAAAAGAAGAAAAAAAAAAAAAAAUGAAGCAUUUAUGAGAAGGACAUUUUAAAUUGUACACCUGUCCAGUUGUGGAGGAGGUAGAAGCAAAGACUGAGGGGGCCCACAAGAGUAACUGUUAUGCUCAAGUAAUGAGGUAUAUUACUGUUACGAGGCAGCUAUAUAUAAUGGCUCAGGCACAACAUACAACGCAUCGAAGUCCAGGCAAGUUAUCUUUCUCACUCGUUCACUUUAUUCUACUACACAAACCAUCCUUCUAUACAUUCCAAAUUUAUCCUUCAACAUUCACGCGACUGAAUUCUCCUUGUAGCAUCAUAUUUUUAUUUAUUUUUAUUUUAUUUUUAUAUAUGACUCUCAGCAGACCAACUCCAUAUCCCACGACUCCAUAACUUUUAGAUACCCG